GGAGAGAUGGCCGAGCGGUCUAAGGCGCACGCUUGGAAAGCGUGUGUAUCGCAAGGUACCGGGGGUUCGAAUCCCCCUCUCUCCG
rnacentral:tRNA from 1 species